GACGAACGCUGGCGGCGUGCUUAACACAUGCAAGUCGAACGGAAAGGCCCUGCUUUUGUGGGGUGCUCGAGUGGCGAACGGGUGAGUAACACGUGAGUAACCUGCCCUUGACUUUGGGAUAACUUCAGGAAACUGGGGCUAAUACCGGAUAGGAGCUCCUGCUGCAUGGUGGGGGUUGGAAAGUUUCGGCGGUUGGGGAUGGACUCGCGGCUUAUCAGCUUGUUUGUGGGGUAGUGGCUUACCAAGGGUUUGACGGGUAGCCGGCCUGAGAGGGUAACCGGCCACAUUGGGACUAAGAUACGGACCAGACUCCUACGGGCGGCAACAGUCGGGAAUAUUGCGCAAUGGGCGGGAGCCUGAUACAGCAACGCCGCGUGCGGGAUGCCGGCCUUCGGGUUGUAAACCGAUUUCGACUGAGACAAAGCGUGAGUGACGGUAAUGGGUAAGAAAGCACCGGCUAACUACGUG
rnacentral:rRNA from 1 species